GGGCUUGUGGUUUAGUGGUAUAAUACUCCCUUAGCAUCAUGAGUUGACUUUCAACCGCUGAUUGGGAGUGGUCCAGGGUUCGAUUCCCUGCAAGUCCA